rnacentral:misc_RNA from 1 species
AAGUCGUAACAAGGUUUCCGUAGGUGAACCUGCGGAAGGAUCAUUACCUUUUGCUAGUAGCUCUUAAGCAUAGUCUUAAGAUGCUAUGGCAUUAAACCCUUGUUUACUUUACCUUUGUCACUCCUUUGGUGGGCCUAGGCCUGCCAAAGGACUAUUUGAAAAACCUUUUAUUAGCAGCUUAUUCUAAGUGUGAUAAUUAUAAUAACUUUCAACAAUGGAUCUCUUGGCUCUG